UACGAAGGGGGCUAGCGUUGUUCGGAUUUACUGGGCGUAAAGCGCACGUAGGCGGAUCGUUAAGUCGGGGGUGAAAUCCUGGAGCUCAACUCCAGAACUGCCUUCGAUACUGGCGAUCUUGAGUCCGGAAGAGGUGAGUGGAACUCCUAGUGUAGAGGUGGAAUCCGUAGAUAUUAGGAAGAACACCAGUGGCGAAGGCGGCUCACUGGUCCGGUACUGACGCUGAGGCACGAAAGCGUGGGGAGCAAACAGG
rnacentral:rRNA from 1 species